rnacentral:pre_miRNA from 1 species
UCUUAUGGACGAGAAAAGAAAGUGAUUUCUUGAAAUGGAAACUACUCCUGAUCAAGUUUCUGUGAA